UACGGAGGGUGCGAGCGUUAUUCGGAAUUAUUGGGCGUAAAGGGCGCGUAGGCGGCCGUGCAAGUCAGGUGUGAAAUACCUGGGCUUAACCGAGGAAGUGCAUUUGAAACUGCACGGCUUGAGUAUGGGAGAGGGGAGUGGAAUUCCUGGUGUAGCGGUGAAAUGCGUAGAUAUCAGGAGGAACACCGGUGGCGAAGGCGACUUUCUGGACCAAUACUGACGCUGAGGCGCGAAGGCGUGGGGAGCAGACAGGAUUAGAUACCCUGGUAGUCCACGCAGUAAACUGUGAGCACUAGGUGUAGCGGGUAUUGACCCCUGCUGUGCCGAAGUAAACGCAUUAAGUGAUCCGCCUGGGGAGUACGGCCGCAAGGUUAAA
rnacentral:rRNA from 1 species